CAGCAGCCACGGGAAUACAGAGGGUGCGAGCGUUAAUCGGAUUUACUGGGCGUAAAGCGUGCGUAGGCGGCUUUUUAAGUCGGAUGUGAAAUCCCUGAGCUUAACUUAGGAAUUGCAUUCGAUACUGGGAAGCUAGAGUAUGGGAGAGGAUGGUAGAAUUCCAGGUGUAGCGGUGAAAUGCGUAGAGAUCUGGAGGAAUACCGAUGGCGAAGGCAGCCAUCUGGCCUAAUACUGACGCUGAGGUACGAAAGCAUGGGGAGCAAACAGGAUUAGAUACCCGUGUAGUCCCUGUCUCUUAUAU
rnacentral:rRNA from 1 species